GACGAACGCUGGCGGCGUGCCUAAUACAUGCAAGUCGAACGCUUCUUUCCUCCCGAGUGCUUGCACUCAAUUGGAAAGAGGAGUGGCGGACGGGUGAGUAACACGUGGGUAACCUACCCAUCAGAGGGGGAUAACACUUGGAAACAGGUGCUAAUACCGCAUAACAGUUUAUGCCGCAUGGCAUAAGAGUGAAAGGCGCUUUCGGGUGUCGCUGAUGGAUGGACCCGCGGUGCAUUAGCUAGUUGGUGAGGUAACGGCUCACCAAGGCCACGAUGCAUAGCCGAUCUGAGAGGGUGAUCGGCCACACUGGGACUGAGACACGGCCCAGACUCCUACGGGAGGCAGCAGUGGGGAAUCUUCGGCAAUGGACGAAAGUCUGACCGAGCAACGCCGCGUGAGUGAAGAAGGUUUUCGGAUCGUAAAACUCUGUUGUUAGAGAAGAACAAGGACGUUAGUAACUGAACGUCCCCUGACGGUAUCUAAACAGAAAGCCACGGCUAACUACGUG
rnacentral:rRNA from 1 species